UGCUCUCCACGAAUCGAGGUUAGGAUAGCUCAACCAAUUUGAUUUUGGGACUGUGACUUAGCGACAGUAGAUUCCAUGAUUUAGUUGGUUUAACUUGAGUUAAUGUAAGAUGUGUACAAUUUUUGAGUGCCUGUGUCUCUAGCACCAUGCCUUGUGUGAGUAUUCCCAAAAACAAAAGAAGUAGAAGUUGCAAGACUGAUGAUAUUGCAAGUACCUUAAUUUUCUAAGUCUGUGUUUGGUAGAAGAACAUAUGAAUUCAAUUAUGAAUUCAGUUCAAUCAAGGAAAUGACAAAAGUUAAUGGUAUUCACUUGAAAUCAAGAAAAAAAAAAAGCUAGGUAUGAUGAAAUUACAAGUACCUUAAUUUACUAAGUUUGUGUUUGGAUGAACAAAUGAAUUUAUUAUUUACUUGAAAUUACAGCGAGGAAGUACCUUUCAAACUACGGUUUUACUCUGAUCUUUCAAUCAUUCCCUAAUUUAAUUUUCAAUAUCUUUCUAACCUUCAUUUGUGGAUGAUCUUGGCUUCUGCUUAAAUGAUUUUUGUGCAUAUUCAACAUUCCAUCUGGAGCUGGAAUGGAAUGCGAUUGGUAAGUAUUUAUAUAUGUUCUCCAUCCUUUUGGCACCAAUACGUACACUUCUUUUCUUUUUACAGGUGGUCACUUGGUCAUCAUAUUUGUAGUGUAAGAGUUCCUAUUGUACCUUUUAGUGUUAUAAGUCUUGGGCUCCAUUUGGUCAUCACAUCAAUUUUUAUGAAUACAAUUUUUUUCUUAAACCAAAUGGAGCUUAAGCCCUUUUUUAACUUCGCCAAUGUAACUUCUUGCAUUGCCAAUCGCAAGCCUGGGUAAAGGAGGAGGGAGAAGGGCGUCAAGGUGAGUUGUGUCCUUUUCUUCCAUAUUUCUUUAAUACAAUAGUGCUAGCAACAAUUUGAUUGGCCCACUUCUUAUUCUCUGUUGUAGGUGUCAUUGCUGAACCCUGGGCUUGAAUGGGAUGCAUCAAUUUUUGAUGAACCAGUUGUUCUCUCAAUCUUAAGGCUAACCGUGAGAAGAUGACUCAAAUAAUUUUUGAAACCUUCAACACUCCUGCUAUGUAUGUUGCUAUCCAAGCUGUUCUCUCACUUUAUGCCAGUGGUCUUACUACUGGUAAGAAAAUCAAAUAAUUCUUUACUUUUAGAUCUGCAUACCUUUUCUUCAUUAUUGGGAAGAUUUUAGAAGUUUUUAUACAAUGUAAAGUGAUGGUGUUCAAUUUGGAUUUUUCAGGACAUGGAUGGAUAUAAUUUGUGCUCGGAUUUUGAUUAUUUUGUAAUAAUUUGGAUUUUUUUUCUACUUUUCUGUCGCUUAUUUUGAUUUUAUUUUUUCUAGUUAUGCAUGCAUCACGCAUCUUAUUUUUGACAGUCUGGAUUAGCAUACAGGCACCCAAUCUUCUAUCAGAUGAUAUUAUCUUAUCUAUGUUGUUGAGGAAAUUUUCUUCAACUUAGACUGAUUAUUUCUUGUAGGAUGUGUAGGAACCUUUCUUCUUAAAUGAUGAUAUGUUCUUUUACUUUCGAGAUGAUUCUUCCUAUUUCAGGCUUUCAACUGCAAGAAAUACUAUCUAAGCAGAAGAUCAGGGCCUAAUUUUAGUCUCCAAUAUUAUUUCAUGAUAAUUCCAGUCUGCAUACUGUCAAACCAAAAAGUAGUCUGCAUUGCUAGAAUAUAAAAGAAGCAUGUACCUUUGUUCUUGGUGCAGCUUAUGGAAUUGAUUGAGGCACCAUUUUUACAAUGCGGAAGACAUUGAAUCAAGAACAAUAAUUUUUUUAAGCAAACAGGCGAGAUCCAAUGAGUAUAGAGAUUUGACAGAAAAGUUGCUGGAUUUGUGAUAGAGAAGUGCACCGAGUUAACGCACGAAUCGAUCCAUCUACGCCACCUUUCCCCAAAGCCCAUUCGAAGCAUCAUGUAUUUGUGAUAGAGAAGUAUGCUGACUUAAUGCACGACUUUGUAUUAUUUGUGGAACCUAAUGUUGUGUAAUAGUUUGAUUGAGUUAAACUUUAAAUAAGCUGUUGUUAA